GUCAGGUGCCAUUGUGCCAAUCUGAAGACGCCGCCUCAUCGUCACCCUACUGAAGUCUGUAACUUUGCUCUGCUUCACUCUAUCAGCAUGAAAUUCGACACAGAUCAAUGCUAAUUGAAGUCCUACAUGAUGAAUGUAGUCUGAAGCGUUUUUAACCCACUGGCUGCCGAACAGAAGCAAAGAUGGACCUGCUGAACACUUGAGGUGUUUUUUAUACAGAUGAUUGAGCCUGAGCAGUUACAGGUCACUGUUAUAAUUCCCUUUGCAUGCAUUACGAUACAGGGACACGAGAGUAUUUCAUAUUUUUGCAUUUGCAUCCUGCUUGAAAUGUCACAAGAUUGGAGUUCGGUCAGUUAAAUAACAUCAUAUGCAGGAGGAGUUGCUUCAUGAAUUUAAAUUUCAAGAUUCACCUUGCAUAAUGUCUCCACUGUACAAUAUGAUGAUCAACGCAGCAAAGAGAAGGAAUUUGGUCGAUCCUCCAAAGGCAACUCUCUGUAGGUGCACCCUCAGCUCCCGGACCACACACACAGCAGAUGGGGUAAGCCAUGCCAUCAAGUGGAAAAUAGACCUGUUGUGUUGUCACAGAGACAAGUUACAGUAUCGUCUGCCUGUCGGACCAACUGGGGAAACUGUAGGAGGGAUAUUUUUUUAACACCUCGCUGUUGCAACAAGGGGAUUCUUACUGUGCAUUCACUCCAUCAGGUGUAGAUCAAAAAGGCUGAUUCUUCUUCAUAGUCAAACAGAUGAUCAGAUCCUUGGCUUUUUACUCCUGAUGCUAGGUGUUGAUAUAUUUAAUAAAAUAAUAGACAUGAAUUCACUGUAGUUUAGAGGUAAUGCAGCAUCUCAAACAACAGAAUUCAAAUAAACAUCCUGACUCAUUGCUGCCACCUUGUGUCACUUUAAAUCAUAAACCCACAGAGCUGUGAGGUAACUUGACCACACAUACCGUUAGGCCUCUUCCUGCUCGACUAGCAUGGGAUUGACUGGAAGCUUCUUUUCUUGUUCACAGCAGUUUACAAAUAGACAAAGGUCGACAUCUUUUCCAUUGAUAGAUAAUUCAGAAAGUUGCUAGAUCUUUGCGAAAUGAUUAAUGUGCAAUUUAUCUCAUGUGACCAUGUCCUUUUAGUCAACAGCCUUGUAUGGGUUUUUGGUUUUAUUUUCUUCUUGUUAAGCACUUUGUAACACUGUUAAGAAAAGUACUGUAAAAAUCAAGUUUAUUAUUACCAUUACGUAAUCACAAUACUACAACUUUGUGUCUUCAACACUAGGUUGAUUGAAUAUCCAAACAGUUGAUUGUAUCACAAUAUUUCUAUGCCUUCUUCUGCGGAAUAAAUCUGACAAGUCA